GGUGUAGCGCAGUUGGAAGCGCGCCUGCUUUGGGAGCAGGAUGUCGGGGGUUCAAAUCCCUUCACU
rnacentral:tRNA from 1 species